UGGGGAAUCUUCCGCAAUGGACGAAAGUCUGACGGAGCAACGCCGCGUGAGUGAAGACGGCCUUCGGGUUGUAAAGCUCUGUGAUCCGGGACGAAAGAGCCUGAGGUGAAUAGCCUAAGGAAGUGACGGUGCCGGAAAAGCAAGCCACGGCUAACUACGUGCCAGCAGCCGCGGUAAUACGUAGGUGGCAAGCGUUGUCCGGAAUUAUUGGGCGUAAAGCGCGCGCAGGCGGCUUCCUAAGUCCAUCUUAAAAGUGCGGGGCUUAACCCCGUGAUGGGAUGGAAACUGGGAAGCUGGAGUAUCGGAGAGGAAAGUGGAAUUCCUAGUGUAGCGGUGAAAUGCGUAGAGAUUAGGAAGAACACCGGUGGCGAAGGCGACUUUCUGGACGAAAACUGACGCUGAGGCGCGAAAGCGUGGGGAGCAAACAGG
rnacentral:rRNA from 1 species